rnacentral:rRNA from 1 species
AGUAACGGCGAGUGAAGCGGCAACAGCUCAAAUUUGAAAUCUGGCGCAAGCCCGAGUUGUAAUUUGUAGAGGAUGCUUCUAGGUUGCGGCCGGUCUAAGUUCCUUGGAACAGGACGUCACAGAGGGUGAGAAUCCCGUAUGUGACCGGCUUGCACCUUCUACGUAGCUCCUUCGACGAGUCGAGUUGUUUGGGAAUGCAGCUCUAAAUGGGAGGUAAAUGUCUUCUAAAGCUAAAUACCGGCCAGAGACCGAUAGCGCACAAGUAGAGUGAUCGAAAGAUGAAAAGCACUUUGGAAAGAGAGUUAAAAAGCACGUGAAAUUGUUGAAAGGGAAGCGCAUGCAACCAGACUUGUCGGCGGUGUUCCGCCGGUCUUCUGACCGGUCUACUCGCCGCCGACAGGCCAGCAUCGUCUGGGGGCGCCGGAGAAAGGUGCCAGGAAUGUAGCUCCUCGGAGUGUUAUAGCCUGGCACACAAUACGGUGACUCCCGGGCGAGGUCCGCGCUUCGGCUAGGAUGCUGGCGUAAUGGUUGCCUGCGACCCGUCUUGAAACACGGACCAAGGAGUCGACCAUCUGUGCGAGUGUUCGGGUGUUAAACCCCUACGCGUAAUGAAAGUGAACGGAGGUGGGAACGCAAGUGCACCAUCGACCGAUCCUGAUGUCCUCGGAUGGAUUUGAGUAAGAGCAUAGCUGGUCGGACCCGAAAGAUGGUGAACUAUGCCUGAAUAGGGUGAAGCCAGAGGAAACUCUGGUGGAGGCUCGCAGCGGUUCUGACGUGCAAAUCGAUCGUCAAAUUUGGGUAUA